ACCUCUGCAAUAGGCGAAAGCCUGACAGGGUUACUCUGAGUGAUGCCCGCUAAGGGUAUCUUUUGGCACCUCUAAAAAUGGUGCAGAAUAAGGGGUGGGCAAGUCUGGUGUCAGCCGCCGCGGUAAUACCAGCACCCCGAGUUGUCGGGACGAUUAUUGGGCCUAAAGCAUCCGUAGCCUGUUCUGCAAGUCCUCCGUUAAAUCCACCCGCUUAACGGAUGGGCUGCGGGGGAUACUGCAGAGCUAGGAGGCGGGAGAGGCAAACGGUACUCAGUGGGUAGGGGUAAAAUCCAUUGAUCUACUGAAGACCACCAGUGGCGAAGGCGGUUUGCCAGAACGCGCUCGACGGUGAGGGAUGAAAGCUGGGGGAGCAAACCGGAUUAGAUACCCGGGUAGUCCCAGCUGUAAACGAUGCAGACUCGGUGAUGGGUUGGCUUCGAGCCAACCCAGUGCCGCAGGGAAGCCGUUAAGUCUGCCGCCUGGGGAGUACGGUCGCAAGACUGAAACUUAA
rnacentral:rRNA from 1 species